GAAGGAAUUCUUACUAAGUAAAAUUUAAGAACUAAGUAUCACCUACUCCUUGUUCAUUAUCCCUUCAUCUUCUCCCCUCCCCCACAGCUGGGAACUCUGUACUGUUCAUAGGGGAAAGAUAGGCUUUGUUCUUUCUUCCUAAAUAGAACUCCUCCUUAAAUGGCUGCAGUGGGGGAAGGGAGUGGCAGUGAUGUAAAAGCUGCAAGAAUUGGUCUAUGGACACAGCAGUGCUAAACAUACUACCCUUUAUAAAUCAUGAGGAUUAUGUUUUUCUGUUUUGUUUUUUUUUUUAAGCCUGAUCUGGGUAGCCAAGCUUGUUUACCCAAUGGUCUAAUUGUUCCUUAAUGUAAAAAGUGAAAUCUAGAAAGAAAAAUCCCUUCUCUUUUUCUUUUACUCUCCUCACAAAUGAAUGUCUUGUAUUUCAAUUUUUUUAUCUUUCUAGAGUAGCCCUGAUUUCAAACAAAAGAUGUCAAAUGAAGAAAGACACAUAGAAGAGGUCCUAAAGAGUUCCUCGGUUGACAGAGAAUUGUUGGAUUUAAAGAUAUUUGAGAUUGACUUCUACCACAGAAUAGCAAUCCACGGCCAUUAGGAUUCUUACUUAGCCAGGGCCCAUCAAUUCUCACUAAACCCUAUUCACAGAUUGAGAGACCUCAGCCAUUGCUAAUUAAAUAGAUGAUGUGGAAGGAAAGUGGAAGUUCCCAGUUCAAAAAGAAUCCUAGGGCAGAUCACAUUCCUCAAAAGAAUUCAGUUAAUAUCUAAUCGACUUCCUAAUUUCUAUAUGUGUUUCUCAAGGUCUUCUCAACACACAACUUCACAUUCAUAGGGUGAGAUGGUAUGACACUCGAGCGUAUUUGAGACAUAAUUCCAUUAACCUCUUGCUGAUUUGAAGAUUUGGUUUCUCUUUCUCUACCUACACAUUUUCUCUGCAGUUGAAGACUUCAUUUGAAGUUGCAUGCAUCAGUUGCAAAUAUCUUCUCAGAAUAUCCUUUGACAUGAUCACAAUUUUUUAAAAAAAUUAACCAUAAUCCCAUAUUACCUAAUAACCAGUCCAUAUUAAAACUUCUGAAGAACAUCUUUCACA